UAGUAACUGAUCAGGUAGGGAUGGUAUCCAACCAGAAAGCCAGGGUUAAUUACGUGCCAGCAGCCGCGGUAAUACGUAGGUGGCAAGCGUUGUCCGGAUUUAUUGGGCGUAAAGCGAGCGCAGGCGGUUUCUUAAGUCUGAUGUGAAAGCUUUCGGCUCAACCGAAGAAGUGCAUCGGAAACUGGGAAACUUGAGUGCAGAAGAGGACAGUGGAACUCCAUGUGUAGCGGUGAAAUGCGUAGAUAUAUGGAAGAACACCAGUGGCGAAGGCGGCUGUCUGGUCUGUAACUGACGCUGAGGCUCGAAAGCAUGGGUAGCAAACAGGAUUAGAUACCCUGGUAGUCCAUGCCGUAAACGAUGAGUGCUAGGUGUUGGAGGGUUUCCGCCCUUCAGUGCCGCAGCUAACGCAUUAAGCACUCCGCCUGGGGAGUACGACCGCAAGGUUGAAACUCAAAGGAAUUGACGGGGGCCCGCACAAGCGGUGGAGCAUGUGGUUUAAUUCGAAGCAACGCGAAGAACCUUACCAGGUCUUGACAUCCUUUGACCACUCUAGAGAUAGAGCUUUCCCUUCGGGGACAAAGUGACAGGUGGUGCAUGGUUGUCGUCAGCUCGUGUCGUGAGAUGUUGGGUUAAGUCCCGCAACGAGCGCAACCCUUAUUACUAGUUGCCAGCAUUUAGUUGGGCACUCUAGUGAGACUGCCGGUGACAAACCGGAGGAAGGUGGGGACGACGUCAAAUCAUCAUGCCCCUUAUGACCUGGGCUACACACGUGCUACAAUGGAUGGUACAACGAGUUGCGAGACCGCGAGGUUUAGCUAAUCUCUUAAAACCAUUCUCAGUUCGGAUUGUAGGCUGCAACUCGCCUACAUGAAGCCGGAAUCGCUAGUAAUCGCGGAUCAGCAUGCCGCGGUGAAUACGUUCCCGGGCCUUGUACACACCGCCCGUCACACCAUGAGAGUUUGUAACACCCAAAGCCGGUGAGGUAACCCUUCGGGGAGCCAGCCGUCUAAG
rnacentral:rRNA from 1 species